rnacentral:rRNA from 1 species
UGGGGAAUAUUGGACAAUGGGCGCAAGCCUGAUCCAGCCAUGCCGCGUGUGUGAAGAAGGCCUUUUGGUUGUAAAGCACUUUAAGCGAGGAGGAGGCUACUUGGAUUAAUACUCUAGGAUAGUGGACGUUACUCGCAGAAUAAGCACCGGCUAACUCUGUGCCAGCAGCCGCGGUAAUACAGAGGGUGCGAGCGUUAAUCGGAUUUACUGGGCGUAAAGCGUGCGUAGGCGGCUUCUUAAGUCGGAUGUGAAAUCCCUGAGCUUAACUUAGGAAUUGCAUUCGAUACUGGGAAGCUAGAGUAUGGGAGAGGAUGGUAGAAUUCCAGGUGUAGCGGUGAAAUGCGUAGAGAUCUGGAGGAAUACCGAUGGCGAAGGCAGCCAUCUGGCCUAAUACUGACGCUGAGGUACGAAAGCAUGGGAAGCAAACAGG